GGAAGGAAAACGCAUCCUGGUGGAGCGCCCGGUCUUCAAAACCGGCGAGACGCGUAUAGCGUGUCUGGUGGGUUCGACUCCCACUCCCUUCC
rnacentral:tRNA from 1 species